UGCAGCUGUGUCAAAUUCAGUGCCUGCCCAACCAAUGGCAGGCACUGGUCCAAAAGACUGCCAUAGUAAUAUGGUAAGUUAUGGGCCCUGAUUCCCUCUCCUUGGCCUCAAGGAUAAAUUUGGUUACAGACACUG
ensembl:snoRNA